CCCGAGCCCGCCGCAGCGGCCCGGGGGGGACGGGAGGACGAGGAGGACGAGGAGGAGAACGACACCGACCCGGCGGGGCGCGUUGUGCGCACGAUCGCUUUAAAUAAAAGGACCCACAAAGACCUCGGCGGUGUAUAAUGUGACAGGCAAACGCAACAUGGUGAUGAUGACUUGGGGGAAGAGGGAGGAAGGAGCCAACUGUGGCUGCGGCUCCCCCUGCGCCUCUCGCUCCCGGAGCGGGCUGCAGCGGCCGACAUAGAACAAGGAAGACAAUUCUCUACUAACCGUGGUUUUGACUGGCACGUACAGCACUUGCUUCCCUCCUCCAGCACCACCACUGACCUCGUCCGAGUUGCCGAGCUGGAAGCCUUUAGAUUUGACCCAGAAUUUGAAUUUGGCAUUAUCCGUGGAGCUAGACUCGGAGCCGUUCAGGAGCUGGACGAUCCGGUCGUAUUUUUUACGGGUCACCGUCUUGGUUUUUCCUGAGUCCCCGAGGCAAAACGGAUCUGGUGGAGGUUCCUCUUAUCCUUCCACUGUACGUGAUCAGUCUCUUUAAUAAUUGUGCAAGGCAGGACUAUCCCACUGGCUCCAGCAGCAGCGCCUUACCCAGAGAGGGUUCGGGUGGAUAAAUAAUUAAAAUCCUAUCCCUCGGCUUAGCGAAGGAAAAAGAAAAUAUUGACUCGGAUCCUUCUUCUUUUCCAUACAUCAACUGCACCCGGAUUCACCCUGGAUAGUGCAGGUGAAGAAGAGGGAGGAAAAAAAAAAAAAAAAAAAGGAACGGAAAGAAGAGAAAAAGCCCACCCUAGUCCGCCCCGGCAGCCCUCGGCUGUCUUCUCCGAAGGCUUUCUGGGCUUUCUGUUUCUGUCCUGGCGGGCUGUGCCUCUCCCCAAAGCCGCCUCGCCGCGCAGGAUGGAAGAAGCACUGAAGGGCACACUGGUCUCUUUGCUCCCCCUUUAUUCCAAGGCUGGGCGGCUUUGCUUCAGAUAUCCCCGCUCCGGGCAUGAAGGUACUGGAAAGAAAGAAAGUUCUUACCUGCUAUUUUCUAAGCCUAAUGCAUCCGAUCCGCGUUUAAAGUACAUAAUUUUUAAUUUUUAAAAAAUGGUCUGUGAGAAUUUCACUUCCUCAUAUUGAGUCCCAUUGAAUUUUCAUAUGCCCUUUCAGGAAUUUUCCUCUGUUUAUUUACAUAGCGAUCCCAGCCGAUGGAUAGGAAAAAAAAAAAAAAAAAGAAGAAAGAAAGAAAGAAAGAAAACCCAUAUAUAUGAGACAGGCUUGGAUAUUGGACCAGAGGAGAGAUCAGUCCCAGGAGGAUGUUGGUACAGGAAAGGAGGCGGCUCUCGUUGCUCUGCCAGUGUAAUGAUGGUGCUCACACAUGUAGGACUCCUCGGGUGCGGGGUAUCCUUUGGUCUCUGGGCUAAACUGGCUACAAGGCAUUCAAGUAAGAUUUUUGAUUCGUGUUGAUGGAAGACAUGGAUGUUUCCUGACUGCUUCCAGUAAUCACUUGGCCAGAAGUCCUAAGAGCAUCCUGGAACCCCACCCACCCUGCCAGACAAUGGAUCAGCACAGGAUACAAAAAUUAUGCUUACCAUAAAGAAUUGGUGAUCUAGAAAAGGUCAAUUGCAUGGUGCAUGGUUUCACUUUCAUAUAAAUAUACAUUGUAGAAUGUAUUUGCAUAACCUGUACUCAUUACAUAUAUAUAAUGUGUGUAUAGUAAUUUCAGUAGAAUUUAUAUGGUGAAUUUACAGUGCAGAUUUUUAAUGUCCCAUUUUGAGAUCUGAUACUCUGAAAGUAGUACUAUCAGAUUAUAUUUAAAUAAGAAAAACUACAUGGGGUUAAGUUCACUGUCUGCUUUGUGGUGGGUUUUUGUUUCAGAAUUAACAGAGUUUAAUAACACAGUCUGGAAUCUCCUCACAAGGAAAAGUGCUUGCACAGACCCUCCUCCUGUCAAGAGUUCUAAUGGCAACCUGUUACUCAGCUGAAAUUGAAACUCUUGUGGCAUCCUUGAGUAGAGGGACUGUGUUGGUCCUUCGAUGCCAUAGACUGAGGCUGUUCUGUGCUCUGCAUUUGCAGAACUCACUUGCCUCUGCCAGAAAAUGAAAGUUUCUCUCCUCUGGUGUGGAGACACCACGUCCGUGCCUUGCUGGCUUGAUUGCUCUGCAGCCAGCCUGAAACAAUACACCACCAACAGAUGUGUGAACAUUUCCAUUCAGUGGAAUGAAGUGUUAGUUGCAAAACAGAGUUUUGGCUAUUUGAAUUGCCUCAUGUGCAUCAAACUGUGAAAGAGGUUUAAAGUAAAUAAUGAAUAUCAUAAAUACUGUGUUUUUUGAAUUAUCAGCUGUAACAAGUCCACUGGCAAUAGAAAGUGAAGACAGGCAGAAUAGGGCCUGAUGUCUCUCAUUGGAGUUACCAGGGUUUCUAGAUGAAAUUACAAUCUUGCAGUGACAUGGAACUGAGUUCAUGGAAAAAGCUGAGAGACAUUUUCAAGAGAUAAGUUUUUUAAACUUGCUGAAAAAUAGAGAGUAAGUUUUUGGCUUAAAUCUGUCAUCUGACUUCAACCAAAGAGAAGUGUUUGGAAAACAUGCACCAUAUUUCAGCACAGUGCUUGAUAUGGCAUUACUGGAUGGCUAAGUGUACCCUUUGAAGAUGUAAAUGUCCUAUCUCUUGGGUUUUUUGUUCAUUGACAUUGCGAGAAAAAAUUAUUUUGACACUUCUGACUUGCCAUGUCCAUGAGUUACAUUGAAAAGCCCAUUUCUGUGCAGACUGAAAAUCAUCCAUGCUGAACUGACAGAAGAUGUGCUGAGGAAAAAAGAAACUGCAGCUCCAAAUGGUUUGCUUUAAACUAUGUACCUGGUGGUGCUUUUCCUCUCUUCUGGAGAAAAUUUCAGUGGAAGUGUCCUGUUGUGUCCUUUACAGCCCAGUGAUGGCAGCAACAAUGAGCACUGCAAGCCCUAACGCUUGUGCAGGUAGAAGUCAGUGUUCACACACUGCAUGGGCUUGACUGCGCUCUCUU